UUUAAAUAAAAAUAAAUUAAAAAACAGAACUCUAGCGUUUCUGGAAAUUAAACAACUUUAUGGACACGGUGAAGAUGGCUCCAAAUAGUACUGUAAAACCGAUAACUAUAGCUGCCACAACCCCAAUGAAUUCAUG